CCGAAUCACAAAGAACUCUCUUUGAAUAAUGACCCCAAUAGACUUGCAAACAGCUGUCAAGUAUGAUACCAACUUAAAAUACAACCGUCUAAUUCGACAGUCAUUAUAUCAAACAAGUUGGCUAGACUUUCAGUAUUUUGGAAACCUGUUAAGUUAAUGGACAGUUUCAGCUCUGCAAAGCUUCGAUAUAAAAUAAUUAGGGAAAUGUGGGAUGAUACUAUGCAAGCAUCCUUUGCCAUUCCAAGGAUGCAUUGUCAGAGUUUGGAGAAGUUCAAUAAACAUUGAGACUUUGAAAUAAGAUUUCAACUUUGAAACUUAACUGCAAACAAAAAAU
rnacentral:lncRNA from 1 species